rnacentral:misc_RNA from 1 species
GAUGAAGAACGUAGCGAAAUGCGAUAAGUAGUGUGAAUUGCAGAAUUCAGUGAAUCAUCGAAUCUUUGAACGCACAUUGCGCCUUCUAGUAUUCUGGGAGGCAUGCCUGUUUGAGCGUCAUUAAACCUCUCUCAAGUAUGAUUACUUGGAUGUGAAGGAAGAGUACCUUAAACUUAAGGAGUGUUCUCCUUUGAAAUUGAUUAGCAGAUGGUAAUGUUAUUAAAUCCCUGAUGUUGUAAGAAAUAACAGUGGUUUUGUAGACUAUUAUCUAGCUUUAAAUUAUAAUUUUUAUUAUGGUUGACCUCAAAUCAGGUAAGGAUACCCGCUGAACUUAAGCAUACAAUAAGCGGAGGA